rnacentral:rRNA from 1 species
CCUACGGGAGUCAGCAGUGGGGAAUAUUGCACAAUGGGGGAAACCCUGAUGCAGCGACGCCGCGUGAGUGAAGAAGUAUUUCGGUAUGUAAAGCUCUAUCAGCAGGGAAGAAAAUGACGGUACCUGAUUAAGAAGCCCCGGCUAACUACGUGCCAGCAGCCGCGGUAAUACGUAGGGGGCAAGCGUUAUCCGGAUUUACUGGUUGGAAAGGGAGCGUAGACGGCAGCACAAGUCUGGAGUGAAAUGCCGGGGCUUAACCCCGGAACUGCUUUGGAAACUGGGCGGCUAGAGUGCAGGAGAGGGGAGUGGAAUUCCAAGUGUAGCGGUGAAAUGCGUAGAUAUUAGGAGGAACACCAGUGGCGAAGGCGGCUUACUGGACUGUAACUGACGUUGAGGUUCGAAAGCGUGGGGAGCAAACAGGAUUAGAUACCCCUGUAGUC